rnacentral:rRNA from 1 species
CCUACGGGAGGCAGCAGUAGGGAAUCUUCCACAAUGGGCGAAAGCCUGAUGGAGCAACGCCGCGUGGGUGAAGAAGGUCUUCGGAUCGUAAAACCCUGUUGUUAGAGAAGAAAGUGCGUGAGAGUAACUGUUCACGUUUCGACGGUAUCUAACCAGAAAGCCACGGCUAACUACGUGCCAGCAGCCGCGGGAAUACGUAGGUGGCAAGCGUUAUCCGGAUUGAUUGGGCGUAAAGGGAACGCAGGCGGUCUUUUAAGUCUGAUGUGAAAGCCUUCGGCUUAACCGGAGUAGUGCAUUGGAAACUGGGGGACUUGAGUGCAGAAGAGGAGAGUGGAACUCGAGGUGUAGCGGUGAAAUGCGUAGAUAUAUGGAAGAACCCCAGUGGCGAAGGCGGCUCUCUGGUCUGUAACUGACGCUGAGGUUCGAAAGCGUGGGUAGCAAACAGGAUUAGAUACCCUUGUAGUC